rnacentral:lncRNA from 1 species
GGGAUUUCUGGCACAGCCCACAGCGUUCACAGCUACCAAAGCAUCAGCAAAACAGCACAGAGACAUGCGGGCACUGGGACGCACUGAGGUCCAUCUGCUGCUCAUGAAGAGACUGCCAUUCACAAGAUGGAUCUUGCAGACUUCAGCACAUCUACAGCAUCGGGAACACCAAACGAUGAUGGCCAGAAGGUGCCAGACUUGCGCGUACCCCACUCAGUUGGAACCCCACUCUGCUCCCACAGGUCGAUAUGUGCCCUCUGAGGAAACACCUUCAAGCAGAACCUCACUUUCUGAUCUUCCUGAAGUCUCAGAAUCCAGAUUACGCACCAUCCCUAUGCGGAAUCAGGACAACCUCCCUCUGAGAAUUCAGAGCCUGCAGGAUGCUUAGUAGGACAUGCCUGGAAUUACACAGAUUAUGCCUCCUUGCAUGGGAGAAGUAGAAAAGUCACAGCAUGGGUUAAAAAUACGCUUGUCUUCUCUCAAUAAUUAAUUGUUUAGGGAUUAACAUGAGGUUUUGUGUUUUGAAAGUAAACUAAUCCACUCGUUGGCUGGUGUGUAAUGAAGGAGAACAGGCUACUGUCAAGCAGGCUGAAAACAGUGAAAAUUAACUACAAGUGCCACGACUCACAUAUUUUAUGUAUAUGAGUAAUGUAUUCUCUGUGGGACAGAAGAUGAAAAUAUCACACAGAAAAGAAAAACACAGUGGCUACAAAUUUAAUAAAACAAGCAGUCAUACUUAGCCUCGCAGUAUAGUCUGGCAUUUUUACUGCCCGAUGGUAUCAAGGUUGGGCCAGUGCAAGAGAAUUCAUGCUCGUGAACUCACAAGAAGCACAAACUUCACUUUCUGCAGCCUCUCUGCUUGCAGAGCUAGCAAAAGGGAAGGAAAAU